ensembl:lncRNA uncharacterized LOC111937249
AGCUCUGAACUUCAGUGGCCUUGGGAUCUGGCAGCAUGUUGGAGGGACACCUGGUGGGAUUGUGCCAAGGAGCUAGGGAAGGAAAGAGCACAAGAACAGAUGAGCUCAGCAAGAGAAACAUCUUUCAACUUCCCAAACUGCCAGUUUCCCAGUUAAAGAAACAGUGGAAGCAAACUCCACUCCUCCAAGUGGAGGAAUUCUAUCCUGUUUCUACUCCAAAAAUUAUCCUGGGAACUGGCCCCAAUACUGUAUAAAAUUUGCCCAUUGGCAGACAAUGUUUCCAAAACCAUGAUUGAACUUGUCCACCAAAACCCAUCCUCUUCUCUAACACUGAACAUCCAGGGAGAAAACCUGUGGACAUGUUUUUUCUUUGUUUUUUUCUGAUUUAGGUAUUGCCAUGCCCACUGUUGGCCCUGCUGAGGGGAGCACAAUUGUGACAGUCUACCACUGUAAGGACUACAAGAGCUGCACAUGCAAGUCUAGGGAAAAUAAUUUUAAAAACUUUACAAUAAUCGCUGAAACACAAAGCAAGACGUUUUCAGAUGUACUAAUUGAGCUGGUGACCAACGAAACACACAUGACUGUUUGCUUUGAGCAAAAAAAUUGCUGUCUUGAAGGAAUUUAUGGCGUCUUCUGGCAGAAAGCUGGGGGAGCAGGACUCUCCUGUGGCAUUCUGAAUUGUGGAGAAAAUGGAAGAGGUAACAUCAAUACUGAGGAGAAGAAUAUUUGCUGUGAAGCAGAGACAAAUAUCUGGAGACACAACCCUACCCUGAGGUGCUACACUCAAAAGUCACAUUCAAAACUCAUCACACUGCCAGUCGAGUCUCCUGGUAAUCCUGAACUUCUCACCAGCAGCAAAAAGACCAGCAUUGGCAUCUUGCUCUCAUUCCUGUUUGUUGGGGUUUGCGCAGGAUGUGCCGCCACGUAUUACUUCCUGCGGCGGCGGCAUGGCCAAGCUCUUAGUCAAUACAGACAGACUUCUAAUGAAGGAAACCUCGAACAUCUUUGAUAACCAUCUGCACGAGAGAAAACCUCUUUGCCAGCAGCAUCCUCCUCCUUUCUUACGAUGUCCAGCCACCAGCUGAACACAGACUGAUUUUCCAUGAGAACUCCUGCUCAUGUAUUCACAAAAACUCUCUUUUUUACAAAUGUACCUUCACCACAUCCACACCUUCCCCGAGCACUGUGACUCUCAUCCAGCUCCAGGCCUUUGGGAGCAGCACAGGCAGCAGCAGGAGCCCCCAUCCUCUCCUGGUGUUGGCUGCAGACAGCAGGAGCCCCAGGGAGUGUGGCUGACUCAGCAGCACAGGCUGGAACCAGCUGAAUUCUCUGUGCCACUGUGUUGUGAGGUGCCUCAGGGAGGCAAAGACUUCGUUUCAGAAAUGUGUUUGUCUACGUGAGAGGCGUGGCUGGAAGCCAGGCUACCCUGAAUUUUGACCUCCUGCUUCGAAGGAUGGGCAGUGUGAGCCCUGGAUGAAGUUACAACACCCCUGACCUCUUGGGAGGAGUGGCCCAGGAGUUCUGAUUGGGUUUGAGUCCCUGGGGGUUUCUCCCUUGUGUUUCUAGUGGUCCCUAACCCUAAACUCCACCCUCAAAGGUGGAAAUCCUCAAGAGUUCUGUCCCUCAAAACCCCUCACCCUGCUUUUGUUCAGGGCUCUCUGUCUCUGAAUGAGUUUGUUCCCACGCUGAAAAAAUGGUUUCAUGAACAGGGUCCUGUCUCUGCUGGUUCCCAGAAACUCUGGAUUCCCUGGCCAUGAUCCUGCAGCUGUGGACUGCAACACCACUCAAAGUGUGAACUGCUGUGGAACAAUGUCUUUCACUUGGUAAUGCCACAGCAGCACGCAGGUGUCUGUAUGUUUUUUAACUCUCAGGUCAUCUCUGCAUUCACCAAAGCCUUUUCACAAUUGGCUGGUUGGUUGAGCUGGAGCAGUUUGGGUUUUUGAAGAGAUGUUUGAUUUUUGCCCCCACCCGCAGGCUGAGGACGUGUGUGUGUGUUUGUUCCUGUGCAGGGCUGGGUGGGAGGCUGUGUCCAGCUCUCCCAGCAAUGGCAUUGUGUCACUGAGGCUUUGUUCUCCCCCCAGGAUGAAGGUUGGUAUCAAUCUUCUGACAAAUUAGGCAAGUUUAGACAGCAUGAGAUGAAUACAGCCCCUCAGCAAUCCCACUGGGUACUUGGUGUCUUUAAAUCAUUCCCCAUUCCAGCCUGACUUGAAUAAAUCCUCACCUUUUGCAUUGGAUCUAAUUUAG